ACGGAGGGUGCAAGCGUUAUUCGGAAUUACUGGGCGUAAAGCGCGUGCAGGCGGUCCUGCAAGUCUGAUGUGAAAGCCCCGGGCUUAAACCGGGAAGUGGAUUGGAAACUGCAGGUCUUGAGUACUGGAGAGGAUGGGGGAAUUCCCGGUGUAGACGUGAAAUUCGUAGAUAUCGGGAGGAAUACCAGUGGCGAAGGCGCCCCUCUGGACUGUAACUGACGCUCAGACACGAAAGCGUCUGGAGCACACAG
rnacentral:rRNA from 1 species